rnacentral:lncRNA from 12 species
AUGGAAAACCAGUCAGGAACACUCAGGAAUAAGUCGGGAUGUGAAUCCCAACCCCACAUCCCAGCAGGUCCCAUCCCGAGAGAGCCAUUCCCAGCUGGAAUUCCCAAAAUUCCCGGGCUCCCUUUGCCCACUGAGUGCUGUGCAGGGCCGGGAUUGUCCCGCAUCCCCCCGGAAUCCCCGGGAUCCUCCCGGGCAGCACAUCCUGGUGCUGACCCUGGUCCAGUCCUGAUCCUGAUGCUCAUCCUGAUCCCAGUCCUGAUCCUGGUGCUGAUCCCAAUCCUGAUGCUCAUCCUGAUCCCAAUCCCAAACCUGGUGCCCAUCCUGGUGCUGAUCCCAAUCCUGGCACUCAUCCUGGUCCCGGGCAGCGCAUCCCAGUCUCAAUUCCGGUGCUCAUCCUGAUCCCAAUCCUGAUCCUGGGCACCACAUCUCAGUGCUGAUCCCAGUGCCCAUCCCAGUGCCAAUCCUGAUCCUAAUCCCAGUGCUGAUCCCGGUGCCAAUCCAGGGCAGCACAUCCCAGUGCUGAUCCCGAUCCCGGGCAGCACACGUCAGUGCUGAUCCCAAUCCUGAUCCUGAGCAGCACAUCCUGCUGCUGAUCCCAGUCCCAAUCCCAGUGCCCAUCCCAAUCCUGGGCAGCGCAUGCCAGCGGUGAUCCCGGUGCCAUCCCAGUGCUGAUCCCGGUGCUCAUCCCGACCCAGGGCAGCACAUCCCGGUGCUGAUGCUGAUCCUAAUCUCGGUGCUGAUCCCGGUGCCCAUCCCGAUCCUGGCCAGCCCAUGGCAGUGCUGAUCCCGGUGCCAUCCCAGUGCCGAUCCUGAUCCUAAUCCUGGUGCCCAUCCCGAUCCCGGGCAGCGCAUCCCGGUGCUGAUCCCCCCCCCCCCCCCCCCCCCCCCCCCC